UCAAGCUAAAAAGAGCGCAGGGUGGAUGCCUUGGCACUAAGAGCCGAUGAAAGACGUGAUAAGCUGCGAUAAGCUACGGGGAGGAGCACAUAUCCAUUGAUCCGUAGAUUUCUGAAUGGGGAAACCCGGCUGAGCAUACCUCAGUCACCGUACACUGAAUCCAUAGGUGUACGGAGGGAACCCGGUGAACUGAAACAUCUAAGUAGCCGGAGGAAGAGAAAGAAAACUCGAUUUUCAAAGUAGCGGCGAGCGAAAUGGAAAGAGCCCAAACCGGAGUGCGUGCACUCCGGGGUUCGGACUGCAUUUAUGACUUCUGACUGUAGCGGAACGGUUCUGGAAAGACCGGCCAGAGAGGGUGAGAGCCCCGUAGGCGAAACGGAAAGAAGCAGAGCAGGAUCCAGAGUACCACGAGACACGAGAAACCUUGUGGGAAUGAGCGGGGACCACCCCGUAAGGCUAAAUACUCCUUAGUGACCGAUAGAGCAGAGUACUGUGAAGGAAAGGUGAAAAGGACCCCGGGAGGGGAGUGAAAGAGAACCUGAAACCCUGUGUUUACAAACUGUGGAAGUACCAUACGAGUACAACCGCGUACUUUUUGUAGAACGGUCCGGCGAGUUACGUUUACUGGCAAGGUUAAGCACUUAAGGUGCGGAGCCGAAGGGAUACCAAGUCUUAACAGGGCGCAUAGCUUCUUACGAAGCAUUAGUCAGUGUACGUAGACCCGAAACCGGGUGAUCUACCCAUGUCCAGGCUGAAGUUGCCGUAAAAGGCAAUGGAGGGCCGAACGCACAUCCGUUGAAAAGGGUGGCGAUGAGGUGUGGGUAGGGGAGAAAUUCCAAUCGAACCCGGAGAUAGCUGGUUCUCCUCGAAAUAGCUUUAGGGCUAGCCUCGUGUUAACCUUGUGGAGGUAGAGCACUGAAUAUCCUAGGGGGCGUCAAAGUCUACCGAAGAUUAUCAAACUCCGAAUGCCAUAGAGGUGAUGCACGGGAGUCAGACUGCACGAGAUAAGUUGGGUGGUCAAAAGGGAAAGAGCCCAGACCUACAGCUAAGGUCCCAAAGUGCGUGUUAAGUGGAAAAGGAUGUGGGAUUUCGAAGACAACUAGGAUGUUGGCUCAGAAGCAGCCAUACAUUCAAAGAGUGCGUAAUAGCUCACUAGUCGAGAGGUCCUGCGCCGAAAAUGUCCGGGGCUGAAACACGACACCGAAGCUUAGGACUCCUUUUAGGAGUGGUAGAGGAGCAUUGUUAGCGCAGCGAAGCUGUACCGAUAAGGAGCAGUGGAGUGCUAAGAAGAGAGAAUGCCGGAAUGAGUAGCGAGAGGAAGGUGAGAAUCCUUCCGGCCGAAUAUCCAAGGUUUCCAGAGUAAAGCUGAUCUGCUCUGGGUAAGUCGGGGCCUAAGGCGAGGUCGAAAGACGUAGUCGAUGGAUAACAGGUGGAGAUUCCUGUACUAUGUGUACCCAGAACUGUGGGGACGCAUGUGGAGAGCAUGAGCCGGGAAAGAGAAAACCGGUACAAGCGGGGUAGGAGUAAGGACAGCAAAUCUUCCUUACAAUCCGAAGACGUGAUGUGGACCGAACCAAAGUAGGGAAGCAUGUGAGCCAUGUGCCAAGAAAAGCCGCUAUUGUGAUACACAUACCCGUACCGUAAACCGACACAGGUGGAUGAGGAGAGAAUCCUAAGGCCGACGGAAGAAGCAUUGUUAAGGAACUCGGCAAAAUGACCCCGUAACUUCGGGAGAAGGGGUGCCCUGUGAAAGCAGGGCCGCAGAGAAUAGGCUCAAGCAACUGUUUAGCAAAAACACAGGUCUAUGCGAAACCGAAAGGUGAGGUAUAUGGGCUGACGCCUGCCCGGUGCUGGAAGGUUAAGAGGAGAAGUCAGGCAACGAAGCUUCGAAUUUAAGCCCCAGUAAACGGCGGCCGUAACUAUAACGGUCCUAAGGUAGCGAAAUUCCUUGUCGGGUAAGUUCCGACC
rnacentral:rRNA from 1 species